rnacentral:rRNA from 1 species
GAUGAACGCUGGCGGCGUGCCUAAUACAUGCAAGUCGAGCGAACAGACGAGGAGCUUGCUCCUCUGACGUUAGCGGCGGAAGGGUGAGUAACACGUGGAUAACCUACCUAUCAGCAUGGGAUAACUUCGGGAAACCGCAGCUAAUACCGGAUAAUAUCUUGAACCGCAUGGUUCAAUAGUGAAAGACGGAUUUGCUGUCACUUAUAGAUGGAUCUGCGCCGCAUUAGCUAGUUGGUAAGGUAACGGCUUACCAAGGCAACGAUGCGUAGCCGACCUGAGAGGGUGAUCGGCCACACUGGAACUGAGACAGGGUCCACACUCCUACGGGAGGCAGCAGUAGGGAAUCUUCCGCAAUGGGCGAGAGCGUGAGGGAGCAACGGCGCGUGAGUGAUGAAGGUCUGCGGAUCGUAAAACUCUGUUAUUAGGGAAGAACAAAUGUGUAAGUAACUAUGCACGUCUGGACGGUACCUAAUCAGAAAGCCACGGCUAACUACGU